GGGCCCGCACAAGCAGCGGAGCAUGUGGUUUAAUUCGACGCAACGCGAAGAACCUUACCAGGUCUUGACAUUGAUUUAAAGCCGUAGAGAUACGGUGUCCCGCAAGGGGAAUGAAAACAGGUGGUGCAUGGUUGUCGUCAGCUCGUGUCGUGAGAUGUUGGGUUAAGUCCCGCAACGAGCGCAACCCUUGUCGUCAGUUACUAACGGGUAGAGCCGAGGACUCUGACGAGACUGCCGUGGACAACACGGAGGAAGGUGGGGAUGAUGUCAAAUCAUCAUGCCCCUUAUGACCUGGGCUACACACGUGCUACAAUGGCCGCAACAAAGAGGAGCGAGGGCGCAAGCCGGAGCGAAUCUCGGAAAAGCGGUCUCAGUUCAGAUUGUGGGCUGCAACCCGCCCACAUGAAGUCGGAGUUGCUAGUAAUCGCGAAUCAGCAUGUCG
rnacentral:rRNA from 1 species